rnacentral:rRNA from 1 species
UACAGAGGGUGCAAGCGUUAAUCGGAUUUACUGGGCGUAAAGCGUGCGUAGGCGGUUCGUUAUGUCUGCUGUGAAAGCCCCGGGCUUAACCUGGGAAUGGCAGUGGAAACUGGCGGGCUUGAGUGUGGCAGAGGGGGGUGGAAUUCCGCGUGUAGCAGUGAAAUGCGUAGAGAUGCGGAGGAACACCGAUGGCGAAGGCAGCCCCCUGGGCUGACACUGACGCUGAGGCACGAAAGCGUGGGGAGCAAACAGG